CAGGCUUCUAGUCACUCAGAGGAGAGCCUAGCCUCUCCCCGGGAGGAAGUCCACCACAGCUGCCCGGUCUGCCAUGGCUUCAGAUGGAGAGUCCACUAAGUGAAAGCGACAGCAAAGGCCAUGAAUAUGUUGUUUCCUGUGUCUGAUGACAUCUCUGCCCAAUGUCAUGCCUAUCUGAUGAAGAUCAUUCACAUACUAACAGCCAGAGGGUGCAGAGCACAAGUUCUGAAGUCAGCGUUCCUGGGAUCACUGCCCAGCGCCACCCUUUAUUUUUUACCUUGGGACGGGAGUCUAGCAUAACUGUCCUCUGAGAGGCUCCACCCAGCAGCUGAUCCACACAGAUACAGAGACCCACAGCUGAACAAACAUUAGACAGAGAUCAAGAAGUCUAGUGGAAGAGGCACCCACAGGAGAAAGAGACUCCACAGGAAAGACCAACACAGUCAACUAACCUGGACCCUUGGGCACUCCAAGAGACUCAAACACCAACCAAAGAGCAUACAAAGGCUGGACCUAGGACCCCUGCACAUAUGUAGCAGAUGUGCAGCUUGGUUUUCAUGAAGGUCCUGAACAACUGGAGCAAUGGGGUGGGACUUACUCUGACUGUCACCUGCCUGUGUAUCUUGUUCCUCUAACUGGGCUUUGUCUGGCCUCUGUGGGUGCCAGGGUACUUUGGUACAUAGUGGGACUUCCCUCUUCUCAGGGGUGAAGAGGAGGAGGGAAUGGUGGAGGGGACAUGUGAGGAAGGGACUUGGAGGAGAGGAGGGCACUGCAAUUGGGAUAUAAAGUAAAUAAAUUAACUAAUGGGGAAAAAAGAACACGAAGGAACACUGGAAAUAGCCCCCUCCUUUCUUUCCCAGGGCCAUACACGAAGAUCUCUGAGCUUGGUUUGCGACAGGAUUAGUAACUUUUCUUGCUGUUGCCCAAGACCCAAUGAUAACAGCUUAAGGGAGGAAGGGAAUCUUUCUGCUCAAGCUGAGGAUGCAGUCCAUCACGAAGGUAAUGCAUGGCAUUGGCAGUGUGUGGCAGCUGCUCACACAGUAUCCACAGUCGGGAAGCAGAGAGAGAUGAACGCUGGCUCUAAGCUUGCUUUCUCUCAUUCAGUUCAGGAUCCCAUCAUACAACGAUGCCACCUGUUCUUAGGACAGUUGUCCCGCUUUAAUAACCCAGGCUACAGACUUCUUCCGAGCUUUGACAUCUAGAUGAUACUAGAUCUUGUCAGGUUGACAAUCAACGUACACUGCCAAUGUGUUCUAUUGCUGUGAUAUAAUACCCCGAUGAAAAUGAACCGGGGUAGAGAGGAGGAGUUUACUUGGCUUACAAUUCGAUGUUAUACUCUACAAUCAUGGGGCCAUCACUGUAGCCUGAGUGCACACCCACGUCAUGCUUGCUUACUUUCGUCUAGCUUUGCCCAGUUGCCUGUAGCUCAAAACCGCUUGCCUAGAGGACAUUGCCCACAGUGAGCAUGCCCUUCUUCUACGUCAAUUAACAAUGCAAAAAUUUCUCCAGAGACAGCCUACAUGUCCACCGGAUCUAGAUAAUUCCUCCGUUGAAACCUUCCCUACAUGACUCUAAGUCCUGUUAUGGUGAUGUUUAACUAACCAGUACACACAGUCACAUUGGGGCAACCAUCCAAGCAUCCCAGAAAUGGGGCAUCCACUCCAUAUGAACAAGCUUUCUCCCUAGCCUUAGCAUCCACCUUCAGCCAGUGCCAUUAGCUUCAGAUGUGCUGGCAAAUGACACUCGGUAGACCGUCCUUAGUUGCAAAACAACACAUCAAAACAAACAUCUCACCAUUUCCUCUGACUGUGGAUCAGCAAAAUUAUAUCUUGACAUAUGAAGCAAAAACAGAUCUUUUCAAAAGUUUUAUCUCUAAGACUAAGCUAAAACCUCCCUUGGAAGCCUAUUAAAAUUAUGAUGACGCUCUCAAGUCAGGUAUAUCCACCCUGCAGGAGUGUCUUUCUCUACUUCUGGUACAGGUUAGGUUUAUAAAAGCCCUUGGUUGGAUAAAAAGCUGAUAUGUCUCCCACAUAAACUGUUUUCAGCAGUCACAACAUGAUCUAGACACAACUCCUCAGUCUUCUUGCCCCUUUAUUGCCUGACCUUGGUGACUUUUCAUUUAGGGCCGGCCACACAUGGUUAUGUUUCUGUCUGUGACAUUUUGACCAAGUCUAAUCUGUAUCACUCAUGUUCUCAGUUCUUAAGUAAAGGGGACUUUUCUCGGUUGAAGAAUUGAAGAGUUAGAACAGCUCUGACAUAAGUCAUAUUGAAAUGUGCUUGUCAUAUAAGCAUGAAGACCUGACAUUGAUCCCUAGAAGAAUUCAGAAGAAGUUGUAUGAAACGGUGUGUGCCUGUAAUAGCACUAGCAGGGGCAGACACAGUUGGAUUUGCUGGCCAGUUAGUCUAAGCAAUGAGUGAAUUCCAAGUUCAAUGAGAGUCCCUGUCUCAAAAGCAAGAUGGAGAUAGGGACAGUAGAGAUGCUCAGAAGUUUAGAGCUACUGCUGUCCUUCCAGAGGAACUGAGUUCAUUUCCCAAUGUCCACAAGGAACAGCUACCUGAAAUGCCAAUGCCAGAAGACCCUCUUCUGGCCUCAUUGGGCACAAGGCAGGGAUAUGGUCUACAGGCACACAUGAAGGCAAAACACCCAUAAAUGUAAAAUAAUAAAAUAAAAAGUAAGCUGAGAAACAACCAAGGAAGACAGCUGACAUUGAGCUCUGUCCCCCAAAAGACAAAAGUAACCUUCCAUAAAUGUGUACACAUAUGCAUAGACACACACAGAUACACAUGCACAGAUACACAUAGACACACAGAGAUACACACAGAUAUAUACACGCACAAACACACACACAUACAAACACACAAACACACACACACACACACACACACACCAAAGGUGGGGGAAAUCCUCUGCAUCAUUCUAGA